AUUGAACGCUGGCGGCAGGCCUAACACAUGCAAGUCGAGCGGAUUUUGGAGGGCUUGCUCUCCAAAGUUAGCGGCGGACGGGUGAGGAAUACGCAGGAAUCUACCUAGUAGUGGGGGAUAACGUUCCGAAAGGAACGCUAAUACCGCAUACGACCUACGGGUGAAAGCAGGGGACCUUCGGGCCUUGCGCUAUUAGAUGAGCCUGCGUCGGAUUAGCUUGUUGGUGAGGUAAAGGCUCACCAAGGCGACGAUCCGUAGCUGGUCUUAGAGGAUGAUCAGCCACACUGGGACUGAGACACGGCCCAGACUCCUACGGGAGGCAGCAGUGGGGAAUAUUGGACAAUGGGCGAAAGCCUGAUCCAGCCAUGCCGCGUGUGUGAAGAAGGCCUCGGUUGUAAGGACACUUAAGUCGAGGAGGAAAGGUUAGAAGGAUAAUACCUUACAGCUGUGACGUUACUCGCAGAAUAAGACACCGGCGAAACUUA
rnacentral:rRNA from 1 species